rnacentral:rRNA from 1 species
GGCGAACGCUGGCGGCGUGCUUAACACAUGCAAGUCGAACGGAAAGGCCCUGCUUUUGUGGGGUGCUCGAGUGGCGAACGGGUGAGUAACACGUGAGUAACCUGCACUUGACUUUGGGAUAACUUCAGGAAACUGGGGCUAAUACCGGAUAGGAGCUCCUGCUGCAUGGUGGGGGUUGGAAAGUUUCGGCGGUUGGGGAUGGACUCGCGGCUUAUCAGCUUGUUGGUGGGGUAGUGGCUUACCAAGGCUUUGACGGGUAGCCGGCCUGAGAGGGUGACCGGCCACAUUGGGACUGAGAUACGGCCCAGACUCCUACGGGAGGCAGCAGUGGGGAAUAUUGCACAAUGGGCGGAAGCCUGAUGCAGCAACGCCGCGUGCGGGAUGACGGCCUUCGGGUUGUAAACCGCUUUCGCCUGUGACGAAGCGUGAGUGACGGUAAUGGGUAAAGAAGCACCGGCUAACUACGUG